rnacentral:rRNA from 1 species
CACCGCGGUUAUACGAGAGACCCUAGUUGAUUUAAACGGCGUAAAGAGUGGUUAUGGAAAUUUUUUAUAAAGUGGAAAACCCCUUAAACUGUUAUACGCACCCGGGGGUCAGAACCCCUCGCACGAAAGUAACUUUAUUAACGUCAACCAGAACCCACGAAAGCCAGGAUA